GACGAACGCUGGCGGCGUGGAUUAGGCAUGCAAGUCGAACGGUAGGAUACCUUCGGGUAUCUGAGAGUGGCGAACGGGUGAGUAACACGUAGGUAAUCUACCCUCAAAACGGGGACAACCCAGGGAAACUUGGGCUAAUACCGGAUGCGUGCAAACAAUGUUUUGGCUGUUGUAAUUAUUCACGGAAGUGGAUAGUUAUGAGAGUUCAGAGCAUAAUUUGCAUAAAAGGUGGCGUAAGCUGCCGUUUGAGGAUGAGCCUGCGCUCUAUUAGUUAGUUGGCGGGGUAAAGGCCCACCAAGGCGAUGAUAGAUAGGCGGCCUUAACGGGUGGUCGCCCACACUGGGAUUGAGAUACGGCCCAGACUCCUACGGGAGGCAGCAGUCGAGAAUAGUCUACAAUGGCCGAAAGGCUGAUAGUGCGACGCCGCGUGAACGAAGAAGCCCUUCGGGGUGUAAAGUUCUUUUAUAUGUGAGCAGUGCUUUCUAUGUGAACAGCAUGGGGAGAGAGA
rnacentral:rRNA from 1 species